UGAUGAUGGAAAUCUCCCAGGAAAACCAGAAAUGAUGUUUUUCCACCCUGAAAUUUUUGGUGCAGUAGAUUAUAAAUUUCCAGUGGAUAUUCAUGACGUGCUAGAGUUUCAAAGACUAUUUCCUAGUCCAAGCUCGACAGGAUGUUGGGAGGACUAUGCAGCAUACUUUGAUCAUUUGCUUUUGGAGGGUGGGAGAAUUGUUCCAAACACCACUGAGAAGGCCAUGGAGGCUUUGAAGUACUUGGUUGAAAAGUUGUAAAAUCCAAAUUAAGAUUAGAGAAUAAAUCAUCACCUGAU